AACGCUAGCUACGGGCUUAACACAUGCAAGUCGAGGGGAAACGACAUCGAAAGCUUGCUUUUGAUGGGCGUCGACCGGCGCACGGGUGAGUAACGCGUAUCCAACCUGCCCAUCACUUGGGAAUAACCUUGCGAAAGUAAGACUAAUACCCAAUGACAUCCCACGAAGGCAUCCGAAUGGGAUUAAAGAUUUAUCGGUGAUGGAUGGGGAUGCGUCUGAUUAGCUUGUUGGCGGGGUAACGGCCCACCAAGGCAACGAUCAGUAGGGGUUCUGAGAGGAAGGUCCCCCACAUUGGAACUGAGACACGGUCCAAACUCCUACGGGAGGCAGCAGUGAGGAAUAUUGGUCAAUGGGCGAGAGCCUGAACCAGCCAAGUAGCGUGCAGGAAGACGGCCCUAUGGGUUGUAAACUGCUUUUAUAAGGGAAUAAAGUGGGUCACGUGUGACUUUUUGCAUGUACCUUAUGAAUAAGGACCGGCUAAUUCCGUGCCAGCAGCCGCGGUAAUACGGAAGGUCCGGGCGUUAUCCGGAUUUAUUGGGUUUAAAGGGAGCGUAGGCCGGAGAUUAAGCGUGUUGUGAAAUGUAGAGGCUCAACCUCUGCACUGCAGCGCGAACUGGUCUUCUUGAGUACGCACAACGUGGGCGGAAUUCGUGGUGUAGCGGUGAAAUGCUUAGAUAUCACGAAGAACUCCGAUUG
rnacentral:rRNA from 1 species